rnacentral:lncRNA from 1 species
UUUUUACGUGUGUGUGAAUGUGUGUGUGCGGCGAUUUGGUCGGAGUUUCCGAAGAGAAAUGUCACAUCGUGAGGAGAGUGACCAAACGCUACUACGACAUGCUCGACGAUGGAUCGUCUUUCCCGACUAGCGAGAGGCAGAGAGAAGGAAAGUUCUGUGCCAGCCGUGGUUUUUCCGAGUGUUGUUGGAUACAUCGACGGGACGCAUAUCCACAUUCAGGCGGCGAAAAUAAUGAGCACCAGUACGUGAAUGGAAAAUAUUUUCAUUCACUGAAUGUUCAGGUUAAUGUUUAUCAACGUGCUUGCAAAGUGGCAUCCAGGGUGUCUGCAGCCUUUGGAAGCAACUGUAGACUAUUGGACCGGGUCAUGCUAGGUGACAGUAGCUGCAUGAUAGGAGAGUGAUUGUUGACACCAUUUCAGCAUCCUGCACCCUUGCAGGAAAGGAAAUACAACACAGCACAUAGCUGUACAUGCAACUGGCAUAGCUAAAAAGAGAUGGGAUUGUCUCUAGGGUCUGAAGAUGGAACCAGAUCAGGCAUGUGAAGUGACUGUGUUCUCAAUCGGGGAGAGCCAGACAAUGAUGGCGACAAUAAUGAUGUUGGACAUAACAAUGAUUUAAAUAAUGAAAAUCACUACAAUAAAAUCAAUGACACUGUUUCAGAACAUGAUGCUCCCACAGAAAGAGCCCAUGCUGCAGCAGGCCAAGCUGUCAGGAACCAAUCUGUUUAUAGACUUUUCUUGUAAAUAUGUUAAACCAUAAUUUUAUACAUUUCAGAACUAUUUUGAUAACGAAGUUAGAACAUCAACAAUAGACAUAGUCAACAGUUUAGAUGUAGGCCCAACAUAUGUUACAACAGGUCAAGCUGCUAGUAUCCAGUUUAUAAGUAGAUUUUUCUUGUGAAUAUAUCAUAAUUUUAUACUUUUCUGUAGAGUUCACAAUAUCAGAACUAUGUGACUGUAGAAAUAGUUAAAUUUUCAUUCUUAUGAAACUUAGUAGCUGUUCAUUCAUACAGAUCUCUUUAGAAAGUAGCAAAUGCUUUUUAACUUUAAUAAAUGAAAGAUGCAGUUCUUCUUGGACAGGACUUUUUAAAAAAAUGUAUGAGUUUUCCUUUAUGAAAUUAUUACAAGGGAAAAUUUCGACAUAGGCUUGCAGACAGUAGUGCAUGUGGUGGCCUCUGCAAGUGUUUGUCAAGAGUAGCGGUCAUCACUAAGACAUGUUCUUAAUGCUGUCACUUGGCUAUUAAAAUCUUAUAUUCUUUUUGAACAAUAUUUUACAUGUGCAACUCUUUGGAAUAAAUGUUUGAGGCUUCCACUCACUUUGAAGCAAAAUUCUGAAGAAGAGUAAAGUAUAUCAGCAUUAGACAUUCUCGGUUAAGGAACAGGCAGAAAAUACAAUGAAAAUGAAUGAUCAACUUUAUUAAUUCCAGCAUGCAACUCUAAAUGUCUGCUCAUCCCAAAACAACAACAAUGAAAAACCAAUGCAAGUUUCAAUAUUUGGCUCACAAGUUGUGCACCACAAAAAUAUGCAAUCUUAGAUUGUACAUCACUCUUAAGAUACAUUACACUUCCACACAUGCAUCCUACUGAAAAUUCAUUUAAGGUUGGACAGGACUGCUGAGAUUACAAACUAUUAACAGUACUUGUCAUUUCUGCAAACAGCGUUAGGUAUAGCAUAAAGCUGACCUGAACUUAAAUUCUGCUUGACACUUAUUUUCUCAGAAUAUAUAUUGAGAGUACAUCUUAAACUAUUUGUAUCAUAGACAUCUACACUAGAGAACACUUCCUUUGUUAGGCCAGCAUCAGGAACAGGUGCAUAUGAAGGCAAAUCUGUAACAAACAUCCAAAUUGUUUCAUGUAUAGUAAUGGCAAAGUGUGCAAAACAGAUAUACAGGGAACAUGCCAUGGGUAAUGUGAUGCAUAGUACAUAACACUAUGACGGAUCUCCUGAGAAGGACAACAUUAUUUUUUUUCAAUGCAUCAUCAAACCACAAGCAUAAAUAUUUAAUGUAGUGAAAGCAUAGCAAUAUUCUUUUAUGACAGUCAUGCACAACAGUGAUGAAGAAGUGAUUUUUGCACAGCAAAAUAUUCAUGAUUGUCUAUGUACCUUUGCUUUUCAAUUUAAUUUAUGGCUUUAUGAGCACAAGUACAUUUUAUUUGUGUGCAAAACAUAAAUAUUGUUCUUAUGAUAAAUUCACUGAAUCAACUUAUGUGAUAUAGCCAUGCACUGUAAACUGUCUAUCAUUCAACCAGCUGUAUGAGUCAACUGUAUGUUAUUAACACUUGCAUUAGAUUUACUGACAUUUAGACAUGAAAUUCACUUUCAGAUCAUGCCAGUGAUUUUUUUUUUGGGGUGGUAGAAUGAUGUGUUUUCAUAUAGUACUACCCUUAAUCAUCUUCCCCUCUCUCCUAAAGAAAAAGACAAAAACUACACCAUGAACCUUUUAAUUCAAAGAGACCUGUGGGGUGGAGGUAUAUUAAGGUGAAAAAAAUCAUUUGGUAUCAAACUGAAUUCAUUGUUAAUUCUUAAUAAACCAUACCUGGGCA